rnacentral:rRNA from 1 species
UACGUAGGGGGCAAGCGUUGUCCGGAAUUAUUGGGCGUAAAGAGCUCGUAGGCGGUGUGUCGCGUCGGCCGUGAAAACCUGCAGCUUAACUGUGGGCGUGCGGUCGAUACGGGCAUCACUGGAGUUCGGCAGGGGAGACUGGAAUUCCUGGUGUAGCGGUGAAAUGCGCAGAUAUCAGGAGGAACACCGGUGGCGAAGGCGGGUCUCUGGGCAACAACUGACGCUGAGGAGCGAAAGCGUGGGGAGCGAACAGG